CUACAGGCUUAACACAUGCAAGUCGAGGGGCAGCAUGGUCUUAGCUUGCUAAGGCCGAUGGCGACCGGCGCACGGGUGAGUAACACGUAUCCAACCUGCCGUCUACUCUUGGACAGCCUUCUGAAAGGAAGAUUAAUACAAGAUGGCAUCAUGAGUCCGCAUGUUCACAUGAUUAAAGGUAUUCCGGUAGACGAUGGGGAUGCGUUCCAUUAGAUAGUAGGCGGGGUAACGGCCCACCUAGUCUUCGAUGGAUAGGGGUUCUGAGAGGAAGGUCCCCCACAUUGGAACUGAGACACGGUCCAAACUCCUACGGGAGGCAGCAGUGAGGAAUAUUGGUCAAUGGGCGAGAGCCUGAACCAGCCAAGUAGCGUGAAGGAUGACUGCCCUAUGGGUUGUAAACUUCUUUUAUAAAGGAAUAAAGUCGGGUAUGGAUACCCGUUUGCAUGUACUUUAUGAAUAAGGAUCGGCUAACUCCGUGCCAGCAGCCGCGGUAAUACGGAGGAUCCGAGCGUUAUCCGGAUUUAUUGGGUUUAAAGGGAGCGUAGAUGGAUGUUUAAGUCAGUUGUGAAAGUUGCGGCUCAACCGUAAAAUGCAGUUGAUACUGGAUAUCUUGAGUGCAGUUGAGGCAGGCGGGAUUCGUGGUGUAGCGGUGAAAUGCUUAGAUAUCACGAAGAACUCCGAUUGCGAAGGCAGCCUGCUAAGCUGCAACUGACAUUGAGGCUCGAAAGUGUGGGUAUCAAACAGGAUUAGAUACCCUGGUAGUCCACACGGUAAACGAUGAAUACUCGCUGUUUGCGAUAUACUGCAAGCGGCCAAGCGAAAGCGUUAAGUAUUCCACCUGGGGAGUACGCCGGCAACGGUGAAACUCAAAGGAAUUGACGGGGGCCCGCACAAGCGGAGGAACAUGUGGUUUAAUUCGAUGAUACGCGAGGAACCUUACCCGGGCUUAAAUUGCAGAUGAAUUACGGUGAAAGCCGUAAGCCGCAAGGCAUCUGUGAAGGUGCUGCAUGGUUGUCGUCAGCUCGUGCCGUGAGGUGUCGGCUUAAGUGCCAUAACGAGCGCAACCCUUGUUGUCAGUUACUAACAGGUUCCGCUGAGGACUCUGACAAGACUGCCAUCGUAAGAUGUGAGGAAGGUGGGGAUGACGUCAAAUCAGCACGGCCCUUACGUCCGGGGCUACACACGUGUUACAAUGGGGGGUACAGAGGGCCGCUACCACGCGAGUGGAUGCCAAUCCCCAAAACCUCUCUCAGUUCGGACUGGAGUCUGCAACCCGACUCCACGAAGCUGGAUUCGCUAGUAAUCGCGCAUCAGCCACGGCGCGGUGAAUACGUUCCCGGGCCUUGUACACACCGCCCGUCAAGCCAUGGGAGCCGGGGGUACCUGAAGUGCGUAACCGCGAGGAGCGCCCUAGGGUAAAACUGGUGACUGG
rnacentral:rRNA from 1 species